CCCUUAGAUGUUCUGGUCAGCACGCGCGCUACAAUGGUCUUCGCAAACGGAUGCAUUCUCGAAGGAGAAUGCCAAUCUUGGAAUCUAUGCCUUGGUCGGGACAGUUGCUUGCAAUUUUUCGACUCGAACCAGGAAUUCCUUGUAAUCGUGAUUCAUCACAUCACGAUGAAUACGUCCCUGCCCUUUGUACACACCGCCCGUCGCUCCUACCGAUCGAAGAGUUAGGUGAAUUGUUUUGAUCGAUAAGAUUUGACUAUGGUCAACUCUCGUUGUGAAAUUCUGUGAAUCUGACUGUUUAGAGGAAGGAAAAGUCGUAACA
rnacentral:rRNA from 1 species